GGGAACCGGCCAAGAUGUCGCUGCCCAAAAAAAGAAAACUUGAGUCGGGGGACAGCGGCGAAGGAGGAGAGGGAACUGAAGAGGAAGAUGGCGGAGAGGGGGAGGCGGUCCCGCCGCGACCCCGCAGGACUAAGAGGGAACGGGAUCAGCUGUACUACGAGUGCUACUCGGAUGUAUCAGUUCACGAGGAAAUGAUCGCCGACCGCGUCCGCACCAAUGCCUACCGCCUGGGCAUCCUGCGGAACUGGGCAGCGCUGCGAGGCAAGACGGUGCUGGACGUUGGCGCGGGCACAGGCAUUCUGAGCAUCUUCUGUGCCCAGGCCGGGGCCCGCCGGGUGUACGCAGUGGAGGCCAGCGCCAUCUGGCAACAGGCCCGGGAGGUGGUGCGGCUCAACGGGCUGGAGGACCGGGUGCACGUUCUGCCCGGGCCGGUGGAGACGGUGGAGUUGCCUGAGCAGGUGGAUGCCAUCGUGAGCGAGUGGAUGGGCUACGGACUCCUGCAUGAGUCCAUGCUGAGCUCCGUGCUCCAUGCGCGGACCAAGUGGCUGAAGGAGGGCGGCCUAGUCCUGCCAGCUUCCGCCGAGCUCUUCGUGGCUCCCAUCAGCGACCAGAUGUUGGAGUGGCGCCUGGGCUUUUGGAGCCAGGUGAAGCAGCACUACGGUGUGGACAUGAGCUGCCUGGAGAGCUUCGCCACGCGCUGUCUCAUGGGCCACUCGGAGAUCGUGGUGCAGGGCCUUUCCGGUGAGGAUGUACUGGCCCGGCCGCACAGUUUUGCUCAGCUGGAGCUGGCUCGCGCCGGCCUAGAGCAAGAGCUGGAGGCCGGAGUAGGCGGGCGCUUCCGCUGCAGCUGUUACGGCUCUGCGCCGAUGCACGGCUUUGCCAUCUGGUUCCAAGUGACCUUCCCCGGAGGGGACUCGGAGAAGCCCCUGGUGCUGUCCACCUCGCCUUUUCACCCAGCUACGCACUGGAAGCAGGCGCUCCUCUACCUAAACGAGCCGGUGCAAGUGGAGCAAGACACGGACAUUUCCGGAGAGAUCACGCUGCUGCCCGACCGGGACAAUCCCCGCCACCUGCGUGUGCUGCUGCGCUACAAAGUGGGAGACCAGGAGGAGAAGACCAAAGACUUUGCCAUGGAGGACUAAGGCUGCCGUUUUUCCCUGCUGCCUCCCAUGGCCGCUUGGCCUGUGUAGGAGAGGCGUAGGGAAGUCCGAGAAGAAAGAGAGCUCCCACGUGCAAAUAUGAUCUGACAGUAUCAGCAUGGCUGUAUAUGAAGAGUACUGUAUGACACAGGAUGCCAGAUGAUCUAAAGGAAGCCCAAGACCUUUGGAGUGAGGUCACUCCUAGUAGAAUGAGCACCAUCUAGGCACCUUCUGAUCUGCUUCAGUGGACUUAUACAGAUCAUGUGGAGCCAGAGCUUUCCAUGGGAGGAAAACAAGAAGUUCUACAUACUUCCUUUUAACAGCUUCCAUUUAUUUAGCACUGUGAAAUUUUCCAAAUAUUUUAAUUAAUUCAUUGGACCAAUGGACAUUUUAUUGAGUAUACACAUUAUAACAGUCACUGUGAUAAGCAAUUAGGAUACAAACCAGUAGAACACAGUUGCUGCCUUCAAAUAGAUAUAUUCAUAAGAUAAAGCAGUAAGAAAAACAGCUAAACAAUAAUGGGCUAAAGACUGGGAGGUCUGGUUGGUAGGAAGGGCAAGUAAUUAUGUUCACUUUAUGUAAUUGGAAAAAGUUACACAGAUGUUGAGGGAUUUGCCUAAAAUGACAUAGCUAAUUCCUAACUGUUAUAUAUUAAACACAAAUCUUUCAAUUCCAAGCCCCAAACAAAAUAACAUUUUUUUUUUCAUUUUAUUAGCCUGUAUGCUUUAAUAUGAAAACAAAAAAGCAAAUGUCUCCAGAAUGGGUCCAACAGUUUCUAUAGUUUGAUGAAUGAAGGAAAGAGGGAAAAGUCCUUAGCCUAAGGCACUCUCACCUUCAGUAUGUAGGAUCUUAAGACUGACAAAUACUAAGCACUCAUUGACUCACUACCUACUAUACAUAUUUCCAUAUCAGGCCGAGCUCAUCAAAUGUGGCAGUCUUUCUGAGGCCUUCGAGAAUCUUGGACUCCUCAGCAUGGUAAUAGCAAAGGUAGAUGAAUUCUUCCAUUCUGUCUAUAGGUUCUGGGGGCUAGGGGGCAGACAGGCAUUCAAUAAGGCUAAAAGGGACACUGAAAAAGGGCAGAAGGAGUUCAAAAGGUGAAUGUGAAAGGCUCCUUAAGUAAAACAUUUUCCUUCAGGCUUCGUAGUACCCAAUGCUGAGAAGAGAUGAAUCUUUAGGAAGCAUGUGUAGUCACUGAGUAACCCUCCUCCCAGAUGUGGAGUUUCUAUUCAUUCAUUUAAUGAGUUAAUAAGCACCAACAUAUAACAAUUACAUUCUAUGAUAAAUAAGCAAUUUCUACCCUCAAAGAACUAAAAUGUAGGAAGAAAAAAAUUACCUACAUCAAUAAUUUGCAUACAUUCCUCAGCCUGAUUAGACUUCAUUCCAGCUAAAUCUUACCUUGUUGAAGCAGGAUUGAGUGUCCUCAUAAAUUCUAUCCUUAAAACUCCUCUCAAAUGCAAAAAUAUUUAUCAUUAUAUAAUUAGGAGAUACUCAAAGAAAAAUUCUUCUCUCCUAUUAGUCCCAAAAAUAAAUGUAUGUCUUCUAAAUAACUGAUUUGUUUCAGUUAACAUAGUAUAUUGAGUAGAUGACUCCACAGUGGCUACUAGAAAGCUGAGCCAAAUGUGUGCCUCAUUUGUGCUCUUUUUUUAUGUCCAUACUCCAAAGUUUUCUUUUUUUUUUAAAUUUUUAAAUUUUUAUUGAAAUUGUUCACAUACCGUACAAUUAUCCAGAGAUUCAAAGUGUAC